GUUGUAUAGUUAAGUGACUAAGCGUACAAGGUGGAUGCCUUGGCAAUCAGAGGCGAAGAAGGACGUGCUAAUCUGCGAAAAGCUUGGAUGAGUCGAUAAGAGGCGUUUAAUCCAAGAUAUCCGAAUGGGGAAACCCAGUAGAUGAAGAAUCUACUAUCAACAAGUGAAUUCAUAGCUUGUUGAGGCAAACCGGGAGAACUGAAACAUCUAAGUACCCCGAGGAAAAGAAAUCAACCGAGAUUUCGUCAGUAGCGGCGAGCGAAAGCGAAAGAGCCAGUAAGUGAUAACAGUAUGGUUAGGAGAAUGUGUUGGGAAGCACAAUCAAAGAGGGUGAUAAUCCCGUAUCUAAAAACCAUAUUGUGGUACUAAGCUAACGAGAAGUAGGGCGGGACACGUGAUAUCCUGUUUGAAGAAGGGGGGACCAUCCUCCAAGGCUAAAUACUCCUGAUUGACCGAUAGUGAACCAGUACUGUGAAGGAAAGGCGAAAAGAACCCCGGUGAGGGGAGUGAAAUAGAACCUGAAACCUUGUACGUACAAGCAGUGGGAGCC
rnacentral:rRNA from 1 species